CGAGAUCUCCCACAGGGAGGAACAUUCCUGAGGAGUCCAUGGCUUUGGUGUUUUAGUCUGUAGUGCUCCUGCUUUGUCAGCGACGUCGAAAGCUGACUCCGCACCGCACAGCUUUACAUGGAUGAUGGAUCUUCUUCCUUGAAAGUUGGAUGGGAGAGCGGAGCACUACGCCAUGUCGUCUUCGUUCUUCUUCAGGUGCAAUCCAGAAUCCAGAUUCGCGCGUUGGUAAGAAAGGAUCGAAUCGUCUGGUGAUCUGUAUCACUGCAACUUCUUUGAAUGAUUCGGGUUCCGACGAUCUCGUCGCGCUUUAUGAACAGAGAUCACAUGAUUUUGUUCCAGAGGUUACAUGUGAUGUCAAUGUGCGCGCGCGCGUCUGCGUCGUUUUCCUUUUGUGAGCACAGGCGCCGCCACUAGCUAUGGGAUUAUUCUCUGGUUAUUCUGAUAUGCUCUAUGUUGUAAUUACAGUGGGUGAACUCGUCAGGUCAGGUCAGGCGACGUUCGCCGGUGCCGUAGUGCUGUCGUACGCCGCAGCCGGCGUGCCGGCGUCGUCGCUGGGCACGUAAGAGCAGCUCGCCGUCGACGCCUCCAC
rnacentral:lncRNA from 1 species